UUAAGUAAGGAAGGGCGUACGGCGAAUGCCUUGCCACUCGAAACUGAAGAAGGACGCGCCAAACUGCGAAAAGCUCCGUGAAGCUGUAAGGAAGCGAAGAAGCGGAGGUGUCCGAAUGGGGGAACCCGGCAGCAGACAUGAGCUGUCAUCUGCAGGUGAAUACAUGGCCUGCAAGAGAGGUACCCGGCGAACUGAAACAUCUAAGUAGCCGGAGGAAAAGAAAACAACAGUGAUUCCCUGAGUAGCGGCGAGCGAAAGGGGAGAAGCCCAAACCGGUUGAAGGACCGGGGUUGAAGGACCAUGACAUGGCAAGAACGAGGAUAGGAGAACGGGAUCGAAAGCCCGGCCGAAGAAGGUGAAAGCCCUGUAACCGAAAUCCGAGUAAAGCCUAAUGGGAUCCUGAGUACGGCGAGACACGAGGAAUCUUGUCGGAAGCAGGCGGGACCAUCCGCCAAGGCUAAAUAUAAACGAGUGAGCGAUAGUGAACCAGUACCGUGAGGGAAAGGUGAAAAGAACCGCGGGAGCGGAGUGAAAGAGAACCUGAAACCGUAUGCCUACAAGAAGUCAGAGCCCGUUAAGGGGUGAUGGCGUGCCUUUUGUAGAAUGAACCGGCGAGUUGCGACAGACUGCGAGGUUAAGGAGGAAAGACCGGAGCCGAAGCGAAAGCGAGUCUUAAGAGGGCGAAAGUAGGAUGUUGCAGACCCGAAACCGGGUGAUCUAGCCAUGAGCAGGUUGAAGUUGAGGUGAAACUCAAUGGAGGACCGAACCGACUACCGUUGAAAAGUUAGCGGAUGACUUGUGGCUAGGGGAGAAAUUCCAAUCGAACCCGGAGAUAGCUGGUUCUCCCCGAAAUAGCUUUAGGGCUAGCGUCGGAAAGAACCUUAGUGAAGGUAGAGCACUGAAUGUGUGAUGGCCCCAUCCCGGGGUACUGAAUACAAUCAAACUGCGAAUGUCAUUAAGGAUGUCCGGCAGUCAGACUGUGAGUGAUAAGGUCCAUGGUCAAGAGGGAAACAGCCCAGACCGCCAGUUAAGGUCCCAAAAUACAGGCUAAGUGGAAAAGGAUGUGGGGAUGCCCAGACAACUAGGAGGUUGGCUCAGAAGCAGCCAUCCUUUAAAGAGUGCGUAACAGCUCACUAGUCGAGUGACCCUGCGCCGAAAAUGUACCGGGGCUAAGCCUGAUACCGAAACUGCGGAUUGUAGGAAACUAUAGUGGUAGGGGAGCGUUGUAUACGAGCAGAAGCCGUACCGUGAGGAGCGGUGGAUUGUAUAGAAGUGAGAAUGCCGGUGUGAGUAGCGAGAUGUAGGUGAGAAUCCUACACACCGAAAGCCCAAGGAUUCCAGGGGAAGGUUCGUCCGCCCUGGGUAAGUCGGGACCUAACGCGAGGCCGAAAGGCGUAGUGGAUGGAAAGCAGGCGAAAGAUUCCUGCACCCGUAUAUGGAGCGAAGGAGUGACGGAGACGGAUAGUGUGACCCUCUUAAUGGAUUGAGGGCGAAGCGAAGCGGCUGGUUACCAGGCAAAUCCGGUAACCAAAAGGCUAGAGCGUGACAGGUAAGCGAAAUCUUAGGAAAGUAGCGAAGCACAUGAUGACGGCUUCCAGGAAAAGCUUCUGGCAAUGCAUAUGCGGCCCGUACCAAAACCGACACAGGUGGGCAGGGAGAGAAUCCCGAGGUGAGCGAGAGAACUGUUGCCAAGGAACUCGGCAAAAUGACUCCGUAAGUUAGCGAGAAGGAGUGCUUAAGCAAUUAAGCCGCAGUGAAGAGGCCCAAGCGACUGUUUAACUAAAACACAGCUCUCUGCGAAGUCGCAAGACGAAGUAUAGGGGGUGACACCUGCCCGGUGCUGGAAGGUUAAGAGGAUCUGUUAAGAGCGAUCUGAAGCAGUGAUCCGAAGCCCCAGUGAACGGCGGCCGUAACUAUAACGGUCCUAAGGUAGCGAAAUUCCUUGUCAGGUAAGUUCUGACCCGCACGAAAGGUGUAACGAUUUGGGCGCUGUCUCGGCAGCAGACUCGGUGAAAUCUUAGUACCUGUGAAAAUGCAGGUUACCCGCAACUAGACGGAAAGACCCCAUGGAGCUUUACUGCAGCCUGAUAUUGAAUUCUGGUCAUACAUGUACAGGAUAGGUGGGAGACAAAGAGACGUGCACGCCAGUGUACGAGGAGUCGACGUUGGGAUACCACUCUUGUGUGACCGGGGUUCUAACCUGGUAUCGAGAACAGGUACGGGGAGAGUGUCAGGUGGGCAGUUUGACUGGGGCGGUCGCCUCCCAAAGAGUAACGGAGGCGCCCAAAGGUUCCCUCAGCGCGGCCGGAAAUCGCGCGAAGAGUGUAAAGGCAGAAGGGAGCUUGACUGAGAGCCAAACACGGCGAUCAGGUACGAAAGUAGGGCUUAGUGAUCCGGUGGCAUCCAAGUGGAAGGGCCAUCGCUCAACGGAUAAAAGCUACCCUGGGGAUAACAGGCUAAUCUCUCCCAAGAGUCCAUAUCGACGGGGAGGUUUGGCACCUCGAUGUCGGCUCAUCACAUCCUGGGGCUGAAGUCGGUCCCAAGGGUUGGGCUGUUCGCCCAUUAAAGUGGUACGUGAGCUGGGUUCAGAACGUCGUGAGACAGUUCGGUCCCUAUCCAUCGCGGGCGCAAGAGAUUUGAAGGGGGCUGCUCCUAGUACGAGAGGACCGGAGUGGACGAACCAAUGGUGUACCAAUUAUCUCGCCAGAGGUAUAGUUGGGUAGCUACGUUCGGAAAGGAUAAACGCUGAAAGCAUCUAAGCGUGAAACCAGCCUUAAGAUGAGAUCUCUCAUAGAGUAAUCUAGUAAGACACCUUGGAGAAGACGAGGUUGAUAGGUCGGGAGUGUAAGUACAGUAAUGUAUUCAGCGGACCGAUACUAAUAUGUCGAGGGCUUGACUUA
rnacentral:rRNA from 1 species